AUGACGCACUUGGAGGAGGAAAGCCCCGAACGUCAAGUGCGUUGUAUCGUGAGCUACAACAGCUACAAGAAACACUUCCGACAAGCGAGGCGUCAUAAUCGACACAAAUAUAAAAGUAUCAGGCUUACAGUAUACGUGCUGAUCAGUUCAUCCAGGUUCAUCUCGACGAUUCACUGGACCUUUAACUCUCAGGUUCACUUCACUCGUGAGUAGGAUUCUGCUCAACGUCGAGGUAAAGUAGCCCAACUCCAUUGCGGAAGUUAAAACUCCGAAGACUUCAAAACGGCGACUCAAAGAGUGAAGACACCUUAUCAAACUGAUAGGCCUACAGAAAAAACGCACCUUGCAGCGGAGAUGUACGGCAUAGCAGGGAUGCCCGAUCUUCUGCCGCCGACAGGCUCUCUUCAGCCAAGUGUCAUUCUCUUGACCAACCAGCUGAACGGCCCCGCGGAUCAGAAUGCACUCCACCGCCAUCCACCUCAGAGGAUUGUACAGCGAGCUCCAAAACUGGGUCAGAUCGGGCGUUCAAAGAGAGUUGACCUGGGGGAUGAAGACUUGGACAUCAUAACGGACAACAACAGACGAUUCCCCAUCUCCAUGGAGGUAUCACCAGUUGCCUAAAAGUGAAAGACUGUGCCAAUUCUUCCCAGUAGCCUUUGUCUUUUUUUUUUUUUUUAAAGGAGCCAAGCCUUGAUCCUUGAUCGUCGUUCAUCUCACUCACAUACUCCAUGGUAAAGUAAUUUGUCAUCGUAAGGGUGUAAGACCAUUCUGUUGCCACAUUUCCACGGUAUUCAUGUAAUUCACUUGAAAUAUAAACACUGGCUGUGACAUGGAAUGGCUUAAAUCUGAUUUUAGAAGAAAAAAAACAAUAUCUGGUAUGGAGUGUCAGGGCUUUUUUCUUUCCUCUUCUUCUGCACUUUACAAAAUACAUAAAAAGCUAACUGUCAACCUCACUUUGUCAGACUUGCAUACAUAGAGGCUAGGAAGUACCACCUUCAUCAUUAUUCUGUUAUUCAUUUGUCAAGUUGGAUAUUAAUCUUUUGGAAUUUUUCUUAACCUGUAAACUAGUGACUGGGAGGUUUAGUCUGGUAGAUAAUUAUGGAAGAUUCUUCCUUCAUAUCAGGUUUGUAAAGGUCACUUUAUACGGGAAAUUCUUUCAGUACAAUUAUGUUUUUAUUUUUAAAAUAGUGUUGUGCUUUCAAAGUAAUUGUCUAGUGACAUGAUUUGUAGUGUAUGUAUGAUAUACAGUGAGCAUUUGGACCUUUUUCAUGAAUAUUUGAAAUAUUUUUGCAUGGAGCAAUUAACAUUUUUUUGUAAAGUGCAAUUUUCGGAAAUAAACUAUGCAUGACUGAUAAAAGCACAAUCCCAUAUGUGGCUUUUAUUAAGGAAUGUUUCUUCUGUCGAUCAUGGCAGAUCACCAACCAACCAUAACAUUAAGAGACAAAACAUUCAAAUGUCAUCCAAUGGGAUUAAUGUAAAAAUAAAAACAAUGGAUUGUUGUGUUA